UGCAUUUAGACAUCAGCCAAGCACCAAUGAGAUUCACAGGCUGGGACCAAUCUGACUUUGGAGGUUGAUUAAAGCGUUCUCGGAGAUAGCUAAAUAAGAAAGUUCCUGAUAUUGUCAUGUAUCAAUAUAACACGUGACAGGCAGCAAUCUGAAAUGCACGCAUCUCCCCCUCGUGCCACCUAAAUAACGCUGAGCACAUGGAAAACUUGGUCUCAAGCCCUAAUUCUGCAUGAAAGCACUUCUGCAGGUAUAGAAAUGCAUACAACUUCUUUCACUGCCGUC
rnacentral:lncRNA from 1 species